rnacentral:rRNA from 1 species
UACGUAGGGGGCUAGCGUUGUCCGGAAUCAUUGGGCGUAAAGCGCGUGUAGGCGGUUCGGUAAGUCUGCUGUGAAAGUCGGGGGCUCAACCCUCGGAUGCCGGUGGAUACUGCCGGGCUAGAGUACGGAAGAGGCGAGUGGAAUUCCUGGUGUAGCGGUGAAAUGCGCAGAUAUCAGGAGGAACACCGGUGGCGAAGGCGGCCCUCUGGACGGAUACUGACGCUGAGACGCGACAGCGUGGGGAGCAAACAGG